GAUGGGAAAUUACCAUUUUGCCCGAAUUGAGCGUGUUCGCCUCUUUCGCAUGCCACCCACGUGCCUAAACUUAGUUUGUUUCCAAGCACUUUAUCGAUGUCAGCUGGGAAAAACUCAGUCAAACCCAUGAACCUACGUUGCCAUGUAUGCGUAGUCCACUUGGUUCCCAACGAACCAUUCUUCUAAAUGGUGCACAAGGCUCGAACCAAUGCCUUUACGCCGAUGAAAUGGUGAGACCCUUAGCCCUAAAAUGUAGCCAACUUUAGCCAAAUCUUUCAGUGUGACCACUUUGAUUGAACCCUGAAUUGCACCAACUAGCUCAUGGUUCAACUCGGCAACCUACAAAACAAGUAAGCAAAAGGGUCUAAGAAAUUGAAAUAAAGAUUGUGUUAUAUUGAAUGUACAAGUUUACCAGCAUGAUGUACAAGGGACUAUUGCGUAUUCUACAGAUGGGGUCACCCAUGGUGUCAGAGAAGAGGAACACAUGUGAUGGGCCUACUUCACAUCUUCUUUCAAGAAGUUCAAGUCUUGCUCUAUCAAGACUUCCAUCAUAGCUUCUUACCUUAAUCUCUUCAAAUUCCAUUUUUACAAUUUACAUAAAUAAACCAAAAAAAAUGAUAUAGAUAUAUAGAUAUCUGUAAGUAUAGAAAAGUGUAUUUGUGUAAUAUGAAAUAUAUUGAAUAUAAAAGGAAAAAAGAUUGAAGA